rnacentral:rRNA from 1 species
GACGAACGCUGGCGGCGUGCCUAAUACAUGCAAGUUGAGCGCUGAAGGUUGGUACUUGUACCAACUGGAUGAGCAGCGCACGGGUGAGUAACGCGUGGGGAAUCUGCCUUUGAGCGGGGGACAACAUUUGGAAACGAAUGCUAAUACCGCAUAAAAACUUUAAACACAAGUUUUAAGUUUGAAAGAUGCAAUUGCAUCACUCAAAGAUGAUCCCGCGUUGUAUUAGCUAGUUGGUGAGGUAAAGGCUCACCAAGGCGAUGAUACAUAGCCGACCUGAGAGGGUGAUCGGCCACAUUGGGACUGAGACACGGCCCAAACUCCUACGGGAGGCAGCAGUAGGGAAUCUUCGGCAAUGGACGAAAGUCUGACCGAGCAACGCCGCGUGAGUGAAGAAGGUUUUCGGAUCGUAAAACUCUGUUGGUAGAGAAGAGCGUUGGUGAGAGUGGAAAGCUCAUCAAGUGACGGUAACUACCCAGAAAGGGACGGCUAACUACGUG